rnacentral:rRNA from 1 species
UUCCGGUUGAUCCUGCCAGCGGGCACCGCUAUUGGAAUCCGCUUAAGCCAUGCGAGUCGAGAGGUGUAAGACCUCGGCGCACUGCUCAGUAACACGCGGACAAUCUGUCCUCGAGACGGGGAUAAUCCCGGGAAACUGGGAAUAAUACCCGAUAGCCACUCCAUGAUGGAAGGCUGGGGUGGCGAAAGCUCCGACGCUCGAGGGUGAGUCUGCGGCCUAUCAGGUUGUAGGGGGUGUUACGGACCUCCUAGCCGACGACGGGUACGGGCAUUGGGAGAUGUCGCCCGGAGAUGGGUUCUGAGACACGAACCCAGGCCCUACGGGGCGCAGCAGGCGCGAAACCUCCACAAUGUGGGCAACCACGAUGGGGGGAUUCCAAGUGGACGUAUUUUAUACGUCCUGUUCCCAAGCCUAAAAAGCUUGAGAAGUAAGGGCCGGGUAAGACGGGUGCCAGCCGCCGCGGUAAUACCCGCGGCCCGAGUGGUGCUCAUGAUUAUUGAGCCUAAAGCGUUCGUAGCUGGCCGGGUAAAUCCUUGGGGAAAUCGGGCGACCUAAUCGACCGAAGACCAGGGACACU